rnacentral:misc_RNA from 1 species
UUUCCGUAGGCGAACCUGCGGAAGGAUCAUUAUUGUAUAACCGAGGUGCGAGGCCUGUCGCUGACCCGAAAGGUCGUGCACGCCCGAGUGCCCUCACACACAUCCAUCUCACCCCUAUGUGCACCACCGCGUGGGUCCCCCUUUGGCUUGUUCGGAGGGGGGCUUACGUUUUCACACAAACUUUGUAUGCAGUGUAGAAUGUAUUUUUUGUUUUUGCGAUCACGCAAUCAAUACAACUUUCAACAACGGAUCUCUUGGCUCUC